CCCUUAGAUGUUCUGGGCUGCACGCGUGCUACACUGAUUACUUCAACAAGUGUUUUAACUGGAGAGUUUGCGUAAUCCUGAAAUGUUAUCGUGAUGGGAGUAGAGUAUUGUAUUUGUUAAUCUUUAACGAGGAAUUCCUAGUAAGUGUAGGUUUAUAAGUUGUUCUGAUUACGUCCCUGCCCUUUGUACACACCGCCCGUCGCUCCUACCGAUUGGUUGAUCCGGUGAAUUACAUAGAAUUUUGCGUUUUACAUGACGGAAGAUGAAGUGUUUUAAACCUUAUCAUUUAGAGGAAGGAGAAGUCGUAACA
rnacentral:rRNA from 1 species